rnacentral:rRNA from 2 species
CUGGCUCAGGAUGAACGCUGGCGGCGUGCCUAAUACAUGCAAGUCGAGCGAACGGACGAGAAGCUUGCUUCUCUGAUGUUAGCGGCGGACGGGUGAGUAACACGUGGAUAACCUACCUAUAAGACUGGGAUAACUUCGGGAAACCGGAGCUAAUACCAGAUAAUAUUUUGAACCGCAUGGUUCAAAAGUGAAAGACGGUCUUGCUGUCACUUAUAGAUGGAUCCGCGCUGCAUUAGCUAGUUGGUAAGGUAACGGCUUACCAAGGCAACGAUGCAUAGCCGACCUGAGAGGGUGAUCGKCCACACUGGAACUGAGACACGGUCCAGACUCCUACGGGAGGCAGCAGUAGGGAAUCUUCCGCAAUGGGCGAAAGCCUGACGGAGCAACGCCGCGUGAGUGAUGAAGGUCUUCGGAUCGUAAAACUCUGUUAUUAGGGAAGAACAUAUGUGUAAGUAACUGUGCACAUCUUGACGGUACCUAAUCAGAAAGCCACGGCUAACUACGUGCCAGCAGCCGCGGUAAUACGUAGGUGGCAAGCGUUAUCCGGAAUUAUUGGGCGUAAAGCGCGCGUAGGCGGUUUUUYAAGUCUGAUGUGAAAGCCCACGGCUCAACCGUGGAGGGUCAUUGGAAACUGGAAAACUUGAGUGCAGAAGAGGAAAGUGGAAUUCCAUGUGUAGCGGUGAAAUGCGCAGAGAUAUGGAGGAACACCAGUGGCGAAGGCGACUUUCUGGUCUGUAACUGACGCUGAUGUGCGAAAGCGUGGGGAUCAAACAGGAUUAGAUACCCUGGUAGUCCACGCCGUAAACGAUGAGUGCUARGUGUUAGGGGGUUUCCGCCCCUUAGUGCUGCAGCUAACGCAUUAAGCACUCCGCCUGGGGAGUACGACCGCAAGGUUGAAACUCAAAGGAAUUGACGGGGACCCGCACAAGCGGUGGAGCAUGUGGUUUAAUUCGAAGCAACGCGAAGAACCUUACCAAAUCUUGACAUCCUUUGACAACUCUAGAGAUAGAGCCUUCCCCUUCGGGGGACAAAGUGACAGGUGGUGCAUGGUUGUCGUCAGCUCGUGUCGUGAGAUGUUGGGUUAAGUCCCGCAACGAGCGCAACCCUUAAGCUUAGUUGCCAUCAUUAAGUUGGGCACUCUAAGUUGACUGCCGGUGACAAACCGGAGGAAGGUGGGGAUGACGUCAAAUCAUCAUGCCCCUUAUGAUUUGGGCUACACACGUGCUACAAUGGACAAUACAAAGGGCAGCGAAACCGCGAGGUCAAGCAAAUCCCAUAAAGUUGUUCUCAGUUCGGAUUGUAGUCUGCAACUCGACUACAUGAAGCUGGAAUCGCUAGUAAUCGUAGAUCAGCAUUCUACGGUGAAUACGUUCCCGGGUCUUGUACACACCGCCCGUCACACCACGAGAGUUUGUAACACCCGAAGCCGGUGGAGUAACCUUUUAGGAGCUAGCCGUCGAAGGUGGGACAAAUGAUUGGGGUGA